GUAGGUGGCAAGCGUUGUCCGGAAUUAUUGGGCGUAAAGCGCGCGCAGGCGGUCCUUUAAGUCUGAUGUGAAAGCCCACGGCUCAACCGUGGAGGGUCAUUGGAAACUGGAGGACCUGAGUACAGAAGAGGAAAGCGGAAUUCCAAGUGUAGCGGUGAAAUGCGUAGAGAUUUGGAGGAACACCAGUGGCGAAGGCGGCUUUCUGGUCUGUAACUGACGCUGAGGCGCGAAAGCGUGGGGAGCAAACAGGGAUUAGAUACCCUGGUAGUCCACGCCGUAAACGAUGAGUGCUAAGUGUUAGGGGGUUUCCCGCCCCCUUAGUGCUGCAGCUAACGCAUUAAGCACUCCGCCUGGGGAGUACGGCCGCAAGGCUG
rnacentral:rRNA from 1 species